rnacentral:tRNA from 1 species
GCCUGGGUGGCUCAGUGAUUGAGCGCUUGCCUUUGGCUCAGGACAUGAUCCCAGAGUCUUGGGAUCGAGUCCCACAUCAGGCU